UACAGAGGUCUCGAGCGUUGUUCGGAUUCAUUGGGCGUAAAGGGUGCGUAGGUGGCUAGGUAAGUCGGAUGUGAAAUCCCGGGGCUCAACCCCGGAACUGCAUUCGAUACUGCCUGGCUAGAGUACUGGAGAGGAGAUUGGAAUUUACGGUGUAGCAGUGAAAUGCGUAGAGAUCCGGAGGAAGACCGGUGGCGAAGGCGGCCUGCUGGGCAGUUACUGACACUGAUGCGCGACAGCGUGGGGAGCAAACAGG
rnacentral:rRNA from 1 species